GGUUCGGUGGCGUAGUUGGUUAUCGCAUCUGUCUUACAAGUUCCUUGCACAGAAGGUCCCCAGUUCGAGCCUGGGUCGAAUCA